GUAGCCCAGGAGAGAGUAAUGCGUGGACUCAGUGCUAUUUCACCACAGCGAGAGGCCAACUGACCCCUGUGUCACCCACCGUGUCACGAUGUACAGCAGCUGAGCUGGACACAAGUUGGGGAGCAAAUUUGAAGGCACCCGUUUUUAGCAGCCUCUACUUUGGGGGGGGGGGGAGGAAGAGGCGCACCCAUUGGCUGUGGUUCUCUCAGGUUGUAAAAAUGAAGUUUCCAGAAAGAGGAGGUGCACCUGUGUAAAGAUUAGAACGCCUGUGGUUGUGGAGGAUUUCUGAACAUCCAGUCUUCUGUCAAUAAAACUUUAUUAGAUUUCAAUGUUCAUCUGUUUGUGUAUCAUCCACCGCUGAUCUCAAACCAUCAUUGCAGAGGCUGCGGCUCAUCCCGGGACAGUGGCUCUCAAGACUUAGUGUGCUUCAGAGUUAGCUGUGAAGGCUUCGUACAGCAUGGGGUGCCUGGAUCCUUCUGGG